rnacentral:rRNA from 1 species
UACGUAGGGUGCGAGCGUUUAAUCGGAAUUACUGGGCGUAAAGCGUGCGCAGGCGGUUCGUUGUGUCGGCGGUGAAAGCCCCGGGCUUAACCUGGGAAUGGCCGUUGAAACUGGCGAACUGGAGUGUGGCAGGAGGGGGGGUGGAAUUCCGCGUGUAGCAGUGAAAUGCGUAGAGAUGCGGAGGAACACCGAUGGCGAAGGCAGCCCCCCUGGGCUAACACUGACGCUCAGGCACGAAAGCGUGGGGAGCAAACAGG